ACUCAGAUCACGUAAUUUUUUAAUAGUCGAACAGACUAACUUCUUUUAGCUCCUUCACCAAAAUAAAAAUUAAUUCAACAUCGAGGUCACAAACUUAAUUAUUAAUAAGAACUUGUUAAUUAAAUUAUGCUGUUAUCCCUAGAGUAACUUCAUUCUUAAUUUCCCAAAUUAAUUCAAAAAUUUAUAUCUUCAAACGUUACCCCAACCAAAAAUUUUUAAUUUUAAGCUUCUAGGGUCUUCUCGUCCCAAAAUUUUAUAAAAGCAUUUUUACUUCUAAUUUAAAUUCAAGAUAAUUAAAUAAAACUAUCUUCUUAGU
rnacentral:rRNA from 1 species